UAGUGCGGGGAGGAGCGUAGGGGCGCGGUCGGCCGGAGCGGGGCGUACGCUACCGGCGCAGCGCUGCGGCGGGGGGAUAAUGGUGGUGGAGCCAGGCACCACUGAGGUGCGGCGAGAACACCGCUUCGACGAGGGGAGGUUGGAGCGGUACCUGUGCGGCCACCUGCUCCGCUUCCCUCAGCAGCCCGCUGGGGCUCUGGCUGUCAGGCAGUACAGCUCAGGCCAGUCAAAUCCAACCUUUUAUCUUCAGAAGGGUGGGCAGGCUUAUGUGCUCAGGAAGAAGCCCCAUGGCCCCCUUUUACCUAGAGCUCACAAGGUUGAUAGAGAAUACCAUGUGCAGAAAGCCUUAUUUUCUGCUGGAUUUCCAGUGCCUGAGCCCCUGUUGUACUGCAGUGACGUGUCUAUCAUUGGAACGGAAUUUUAUGUGAUGCAGCAUGUGCAGGGUCGUAUCUUCCGAGACCUCUCACUGCCAGAAGUGGGCCCAGCAGAGCGUUCUGCUUUGUAUAUUGCAAUGAUAGAAACUUUGGCCCUGUUGCACUCCUUUGAUUUACAGUCAUUGGGUCUCCAAGGGUAUGGUAGAGGACCAGGAUACUGCAGAAGACAGGUAUCAACUUGGAAGAGACAGUAUGAUGCAGCUGCUCAUACAGGUAUUCCUGCCAUGAACAAGCUGGCUGAGUGGUUAGCAAACAACUUGCCACCUAAUGAUAAUGAAGAAAGCCUGAUUCAUGGAGACUUUAGAAUAGAUAACAUCAUCUUCCACCCAACAGAGGCACGUGUUUUAGCAGUGCUGGACUGGGAACUUUCAACUGCUGGUCAUCCUUUAGCAGAUUUAGCAUAUGCCACUCUGUUCUACUUCUGGCCUACAUCUAUCAAGGACUUAGGUCAAGGAACUGUCUUGGGUUUCAAAGACACCAUAGAAACUCCUUCAUUUGAAGAACUGGUUUCCAUUUAUUGCCGCUGCCGGGGUAUUAGCACUACUUUAUCCAACUUCAAUUUUUUUCUCGCUUUGUCAUAUUUUAAAAUGGCAGCAAUAUCCCAGGGUAUAUAUGCUAGAUAUCUCAUUGGAAAUGCUUCUGCAGAGAAUAGUCAUGAAUUUGCUAAGAUUGUGAAGCCUUUGGCAGAGAGAGGGUUAGAGCUCUCGAAAAGGUCAUCUUUCAGCAGCACACUUCACAGCAUUUCUGGAGAGAUGUUCCAUCAAAGUAGGAAAGGCCAAGAAAUUCUGCGGAAGGUCAAGCAGUUCAUGAAGCAGCAUAUAUAUCCAGCUGAGAAGGAAAUAAUAAAAUACUAUGCUGGACAUGGAAAUACUGAGGAAAAAUGGAAGAAACCACCACUGCUUGAGAAAUUGAAGGAAAUGGCCAAAGCAGAAGGUCUGUGGAACCUUUUUCUCCCAGAUGUCAGUGGUCUUAGCCAGCUCGACUAUGCGCUAAUAGCUGAGGAGACAGGGAAAUGCUUCUUUGCUCCUGAGGUUUUCAACUGUCAUGCACCAGACACUGGAAACAUGGAGGUCCUGCACAUGUAUGGGACUGAAGAGCAAAAGAAAGAGUGGCUGGAACCUCUCCUAGAAGGGGAGAUUAGUUCUUGCUUCUGCAUGACAGAACCAGAUGUGGCUUCAAGUGAUGCAACCAAUAUGCAAUGCAGCAUUGAGCGAGAUGGAAACAGUUAUGUGAUCAACGGCAAGAAGUGGUGGAGCAGUGGUGCUGGAAACCCAAAUUGCAAAGUUGCAAUUGUCAUGGGCAAAACCAAAAACUCCUCAGCAUCCAGGUACAAGCAGCAUAGUAUGAUCAUUGUUCCCAUGGCCACGCCAGGGCUGAAGCUGAUAAGACCCCUCUCAGUGUUUGGCUAUCUGGAUGAGAUCCAUGGAGGGCAUUUUGAGAUACACUUUAAUGAUGUGCGAGUACCUGUCUCCAAUAUAAUACUGGGUGAGGGCAGGGGGUUUGAGAUAGCUCAAGGUCGGCUUGGGCCAGGCCGUAUUCAUCACUGCAUGAGGUCCCUUGGUGCGGCUGAAACUGCUUUACAGAUAAUGUGCCAGCGCGCAGCGCAGAGAGAGACUUUCGGGAAGAAACUGUAUCACCACGUAAGCACAUUUCCUCUUUGUCCCAAUUCACGUGCUCCAGACCUCCAGACACCAUCCUGUGUUUUGCCCACACAGAACCUUGUGUGGUAUCAGACUCUGAUGGUGGACACUGCAAUAGACGUGCCCUAACCUUGAAUUCCUAUUCAUAACGCUCCAGGUGGCAAAGGAAAAAAAAAAUCACAUUGCGAGGCUCCCAGCUUUCACUGUAACCUAUGGGACAUUUUUUUUCCCUUGCAGUGAAUUGGAUGCCUGUUGCUGGAUUUGAGUACAGAUUUUGUUGCUGUGGGUUUUUUUCUCUGCUUUCACUGAUCAGUUCGGACAGGUAUUUUUUCAGGCAUACAGUUUAUGUUUCCAUAGUUAUAAUCUGAAUUCACCAUUUUUGCAUAUCGAAUUAGUCACUGAGACUUCUCCCAUUCCUGAUUACUGGAGAUGCUCGAGGGUCUAAAUUUGACUAAAAAUUUUACUUCUCUGAUCAAUUAUUUGUACUUACUUAUAAGAGUACAGGCCAAACCAAAGCCAUAGCGGGAUUUUUGGUCUUAUCUUACUCUGGAAUUGCAAUACUGUUUUGUGAGAGAGAGAGCUUGCUAGAACAAUAAAAAGAGGACAGUCUGCUUUUUAUAGGAACCAUCAACAUUUACUAGUUGGCCUAUCACAUUUCAAGUGUUCCUCAGUCUUAUCCAACAGAUAGGAUGACUCUAUUGGAAUAAACAAGUAAAAGCAACGGAAAGAGGGAAUGGAAUUAGUGUCUGGCACAGGUUAUAAAAAUUGCCUGUACAGAUCCAGAGGGAAUAAUCUUACAUAUCUAUUUUCCAGUCAUGUCAUUGCCAAACUUCCAUUUAUGACCAUAGCCUAGAAUUUAUAAGGGUUGGAUGAGGUGCACGCUAUUUCUCCAAAGCUCGUUAAAGUAAAGCCAAGGUUUGAUGAAGCCGGAGGCAAGACCUGAAGGGCAGCUGGGUAGCCAGCAUAGGUCCUGCACAGCUCUGGGCUAGCGAAGGAAGAGGUGGGGCUCUUGGCAGCCUUUGGUAACCGGCUGACUCACCCCUGCCCCCAUGGCAGUUAGUUACAGUCCCAGCAGCUGUCGUCAGAAAGCACGAGUUUGAACACCUCCACCUUUGCUGAGCCCCCAGCCUUUGCACUGAAGUGAGUGAUGCACAUUUGCUCACGUCUCCUGCGGCUGCCAAGGCUACAAGGUCCACGCUGCAGGCAGAAGCGGGUGCCUGCGGCUGGCUCAAGCUCCAAACAGCAUCACAUCAACUUUUUUUUCCUACUGUGGAAGUUGUUGCCCACUGGAUCGCUGAGUGCCGCCUCAGCAUAGAACAGGCUCGACUGCUUACACUAAAAACAGCCAGCAAGAUUG